GCGGAUGACCGGAUGGCCGCGGGCCCGGGGCAACCCGGGGCCGAGGAAAGUCCGGACUCCACAAAGCAACGGUGCCGGGUAACGCCCGGCCGGGGAAACCCGAGGGAAAGCGCCACAGAAAUCAAACGGCCUCGCAUGCGGGGCAAAGGUGAAACGGUGGGGUAAGAGCCCACCGCGGACUUGGCAACAAGGACGGCACGGCAAGCCCCACCGGGAGCAAUGCCAAAUAGGGACCCCGCAUGGGCGGCUUUGGUCAGGGGUCCGGGUUGGCAGCACGAGCGCAUCGGCAACGAUGCGCCCAGAUGAAUGGUCAUCCAGCCCCGGGCCACGGUCCGGGGUGGACAGAAUCCGGCUUACAGGUCAUCCGCGCAA
rnacentral:RNase_P_RNA from 1 species